AGCACACUCUGGGAGUUCAGCCUUCAACAAGUGUUGCUGCACGCCUACUGGGCAUCAGACCCUGUUCUGGGUGCUGGAUGGACUGGAGGGAGUGAGAAAGCCGGGGGUCAUUGCCGCAGUCCGUGUGGACGAUGCUGGUCCAGGGAUCUCCUCCAGGGAGGCACCGUCACCCAGUGAUGCGGGAUCCAGGCUCCUUCCAUCCCUGAUGACGUCAUCGACACCUGUGGCCUCCAGGAUCACCAGGGAAGGGGGCAUGAAGCUGCUACGUGGGAGACACCCCCAUGGCAAGGCACUGAAGGCCACCUCCAGCCAACAGCCACCAGGCAGGCCGGACCUGAGGCCCCUGGUCCAUCAGCCCUCGAGGAAGAGUCGUGUCCACCCCUGCAGGAGCUCGGGAGCAGACCCUUCCCCAGUCGAGCCUUCAGACCACGUCCCCGCCUCGGCCACAACUUGAUCGCGGCCUCGUGUGAGCCGCUGAAGCAGAGGAUCCAACCAAGAUGUAAAUUUCACCCCCAAACCCCACAAGGAACAGGGGAGUCUGAGACUUGGAAGAAUCGCUGGGAUGUGCAGCACACCUUCCCCUCUGAUCCGCUGGCUCUGUGGGCCCACCAGGGGGAGGAGACCCGCCAGUAACCUAAAUGCAAAUCGCCCUUGGCAGCAGCCGCGGCACUCCUGUGUUCCGCCAGGGGAGCAUCUCCAACAUGUGCAGAUAAACAUUCCUGUGACUGCGUGAGAUGGAACAGUGCUGCCUAAUUGGUCAACUCUGCUGGAGGAGAACCUGAGAGGUGAUGCGGGAUUGGUUUGUGUGGAGCCCCGGGCCCUGGGGAGGGGCCGGAAGUCAGCCCUGUCCUGCAGCCAGAAGGUGGAGCAGGUGGGAACGGAGCCCCUCUCUUCGCAGACACUUCACAGAAGGAAGAAUGAAGCGGGCAUGCGUGGGAGCCAGGAGCCGCUCUGAGCCUCGGGGAAGAGAAGCCUUGAGCAGGGACGUCAGGAGACCAAGAAAGUCCUACAAUUCUGAGCAGCCUGCGGAUCUCUGAGGCACUGAGCCAGCAGCCAUCAUCCUUCUCUCUCCGUCUAAAUUGUUUCAGCACCACACACCCUAAGGCGCGGGGAGGGGCAUGGAGCUGGGCAGCGACUUCCUUUGAGCAGGCCCAGUUGAGUCCCUGGUCCUGGCCUGUGUGCCCCCUGCCUGCAGCCCUGAGCCAGGAAGUAGGUGGAGUUGGGUGGCACUUCCUGGCGUGAAAGCCAGGAAGUUCAAGCGUCUUUUCCCAAUUGGCCAGUUUUGAGCGGAGGAGGAUUAGCUGUGGGAUGCUGGGCAAGUCACUUAACCUCUGUGAGCCUUACUUUCUUCAUCUGGGAAAUGAGCUGACAGCUGCCUCCUCGGCUGGUGUGAGCCCUGAGUGAUGACACAUGUGGGGGCCAGGUGCUGUGCCUGGCCCUCAGCAGGUGCUCCCAUGGUGAGCCUCAUCCCCACCGUGGAGAGCUCGGCACUGACAGUUCUCCCCGAAGCCAGCCCCUGCGUCAUUCUGCUUUCAAUGUUCCCACAUCUGCCCCCUUUCCCCCAUUGGGACAGUCAAGGCAUUGGGCACAUGGCCACCAAGGCCCUUUGCAGCUUGGACAGUGGGGGCCCCUUACUCCUUUCCUGAGCCACAGCCUCAUGCCCGACUCUAACCACUGCACCCCCAGCCCCGUGAGCCUGUCAGCUGCGUUCAGGAGACCCUGAGCCUCCCUACUGACCCAGAGCUGCAGGAGAACAGACCCACCACCGACUGCAGACCUCCUGUGUCCGGGCCCUGGGCUCGCAGAGAACAGAUGCGCCCUGUUCCCUCUGAGGUUGUGUCAGCAGGAGGGAAGCAGGCACCGCGAGGAGGGACCCUGGACACGCCAGGCCGGCCCUGGGAGCAGGAGACCCAGGAAUAGACACGGCAGGUGCGCAUGUGCGCGCUGAGUGGGCGACAGUCUCGGUUCUUCAGCCUGUCAGCACCGGGAAUAAUUAGAAUCCUAAAGAGGCCUCGUUAUUGCUCCCAGGACCGUGGCGCCCUUUGGAAAAAGGAUGUUUCCUGCCAGAUCGUCCCCUGAAGAUGCGUUUGUCACCAGCUGUCGUGUAAAUCCAUGUUUGGCCUGUUUUAAAAGAUGUGAUUUAUCCA
ensembl:lncRNA